rnacentral:misc_RNA from 1 species
AAGUCGUAACAAGGUAACCGUAGGUGAACCUGCGGUUGGAUCAUUACCGAUUCCGUCCUUCGGGACACCCACACCUGUGAACUGUGCUGUUUUUUGGGUGCUCUUCGGAGUGCCCAGCAGUCUAACCACUGAAUCUUGGCUGAGAUAAAGUUUAAAUAGUAACAACUUUUGACAACGGAUCUCUUGGCUCUC